rnacentral:tRNA from 1 species
ACACGAAUAAUUCAAUUGGCAGAAUGGUAGCCUCCAAAACUACUCAUCUAGGUUCAAGUCCUAGUUCGUGCG